rnacentral:rRNA from 1 species
AGAGUUUGAUCCUGGCUCAGAUUGAACGCUGGCGGCAUGCCUUACACAUGCAAGUCGAACGGUAACAGGUUAAGCUGACGAGUGGCGAACGGGUGAGUAAUGUAUCGGAACGUGCCCAGUCGUGGGGGAUAACUGCUCGAAAGAGCAGCUAAUACCGCAUACGACCUGAGGGUGAAAGCGGGGGACCGUAAGGCCUCGCGCGAUUGGAGCGGCCGAUAUCAGAUUAGCUAGUUGGUGGGGUAAAGGCCCACCAAGGCGACGAUCUGUAGCUGGUCUGAGAGGACGACCAGCCACACUGGGACUGAGACACGGCCCAGACUCCUACGGGAGGCAGCAGUGGGGAAUUUUGGACAAUGGGCGCAAGCCUGAUCCAGCCAUGCCGCGUGCGGGAAGAAGGCCUUCGGGUUGUAAACCGCUUUUGUCAGGGGAGAAAAGGGUGUUUCUAAUAAAGACGCCUCAUGACGGUACCUGAAGAAUAAGCACCGGCUAACUACGUGCCAGCAGCCGCGGUAAUACGUAGGGUGCAAGCGUUAAUCGGAAUUACUGGGCGUAAAGCGUGCGCAGGCGGUGAUGCAAGACAGAGGUGAAAUCCCCGGGCUCAACCUGGGAACUGCCUUUGUGACUGCAUGACUAGAGUACGGUAGAGGGGGAUGGAAUUCCGCGUGUAGCAGUGAAAUGCGUAGAUAUGCGGAGGAACACCGAUGGCGAAGGCAAUCCCCUGGACCUGUACUGACGCUCAUGCACGAAAGCGUGGGGGAGCAAACAGGAUUAGAUACCCUGGUAGUCCACGCCCUAAACGAUGUCAACUGGUUGUUGGGAGGGUUUCUUCUCAGUAACGUAGCUAACGCGUGAAGUUGACCGCCUGGGGAGUACGGCCGCAAGGUUGAACUCAAAGGAAUUGACGGGACCCGCACAAGCGGUGGAUGAUGUGGUUUAAUUCGAUGCAACGCGAAAAACCUUACCUACCCUUGACAUG